rnacentral:misc_RNA from 1 species
CCGAGUUUACAACUCCCAAACCCAAUGUGAACCAUACCAAACUGUUGCCUCGGCGGGGUCACGCCCCGGGUGCGUCGCAGCCCCGGAACCAGGCGCCCGCCGGAGGGACCAACCAAACUCUUUCUGUAGUCCCCUCGCGGACGUUAUUUCUUACAGCUCUGAGCAAACUUCAAAAUGAAUCA